AGAGUUUGAUCCUGGCUCAGGAUGAACGCUAGCGGCAGGCCUAACACAUGCAAGUCGAGGGAGAAGCCCUUUCGGGGGCAGAAACCGGCGCACGGGUGCGUAACGCGUAUGCAACCUACCUUUCACAGGGGGAUAGCCCGAAGAAAUUUGGAUUAAUACCCCAUAAUAUUAUUGGAUGGCAUCAUUUGAUAAUUAAAACUGCGGUGGUGAAAGAUGGGCAUGCGUCCUAUUAGCUUGUUGGAGUGGUAACGGCACCCCAAGGCUACGAUAGGUAGGGGUCCUGAGAGGGAGAUCCCCCACACUGGUACUGAGACAGGGACCAGACUCCUACGGGAGGCAGCAGUGAGGAAUAUUGGUCAAUGGUCGGAAGACUGAACCAGCCAUGCCGCGUGCAGGAAGAAUGCCUUAUGGGUUGUAAACUGCUUUUAUAUGGGAAGAAUAAGGCGUACGUGUACGUUGAUGACGGUACCAUAUGAAUAAGCAUCGGCUAACUCCGUGCCAGCAGCCGCGGUAAUACGGAGGAUGCGAGCGUUAUUCGGAAUCAUUGGGUUUAAAGGGUCUGUAGGCGGGCUAUUAAGUCAGGGGUGAAAGGUUUCAGCUUAACUGAGAAAUUGCCUUUGAUACUGGUAGUCUUGAAUAUCUGUGAAGUUCUUGGAAUGUGUAGUGUAGCGGUGAAAUGCUUAGGUAUUACACAGAACACCGAUUGCGAAAGGCAGGGGACUAACAGACAAUUGACGCUGA
rnacentral:rRNA from 1 species